rnacentral:rRNA from 1 species
CAUGCCUAACACAUGCAAGUCGAACGGAAACGAUGCUAGCUUGCUAGCAGGCGUCGAGUGGCGGACGGGUGAGUAAUGUAUAGGGAUCUGCCUAGUAGUGGGGGACAACAUGUGGAAACGCAUGCUAAUACCGCAUACGCUCUACGGAGGAAAGUGGGGGACCUUUCGGGGCCUCAUGCUACUAGAUGAACCUAUAUUGGAUUAGCUUGUUGGUAAGGUAAUGGCUUACCAAGGCGACGAUCCAUAGCUGGUUUGAGAGAAUGAUCAGCCACACUGGGACUGAGACACGGCCCAGACUCCUACGGGAGGCAGCAGUGGGGAAUAUUGCACAAUGGACGAAAGUCUGAUGCAGCAAUGCCGCGUGUGUGAAGAAGGCCUUAGGGUUGUAAAGCACUUUCAGACGUGAGGAAAAGUAAUAAUUUAAUAAAUUAUUACCUUGACGUUAACGUCAGAAGAAGGACCGGCUAACUCCGUGCCAGCAGCCGCGGUAAUACGGAGGGUCCAAGCGUUAAUCGGAAUUACUGGGCGUAAAGCGCGCGUAGGCGGAUAUUUAAGUCAGAUGUGAAAUCCCUGGGCUCAACCUAGGAACUGCAUUUGAUACUGGAUAUCUAGAGUAUGGUAGAGGUGAGUGGAAUUUCAGGUGUAGCGGUGAAAUGCGUAGAGAUCUGAAGGAACAUCAGUGGCGAAGGCGACUCACUGGGCCAUUACUGACGCUGAGGUGCGAAAGCGUGGGUAGCAAACAGGAUUAGAUACCCUGGUAGUCCACGCCCUAAACGAUGUCAACUAGGUGUAUGGGAGUUUAACUCCUGUGUAUCGAAGCUAACGCGACAAGUUGACCGCCUGGGGAGUACGGUCGCAAGACUAAAACUCAAAUGAAUUGACGGGGGCCCGCACAAGCGGUGGAGCAUGUGGUUUAAUUCGAUGCAACGCGAAGAACCUUACCUGGUCUUGACAUGUAGCGAAGGUUUUAGAGAUAGAACUGUGCCUUCGGGAACGCUAACACAGGUGCUGCAUGGCUGUCGUCAGCUCGUGUCGUGAGAUGU